UAGGGAAUCUUCCGCAAUGGGCGAAAGCCUGACGGAGCAACGCCGCGUGAGUGAUGAAGGUCUUCGGAUCGUAAAACUCUGUUAUUAGGGAAGAACAAAUGUGUAAGUAACUAUGCAUGUCUUGACGGUACCUAAUCAGAAAGCCACGGCUAACUACGUGCCAGCAGCCGCGGUAAUACGUAGGUGGCAAGCGUUAUCCGGAAUUAUUGGGCGUAAAGCGCGCGUAGGCGGUUUUUUAAGUCUGAUGUGAAAGCCCACGGCUCAACCGUGGAGGGUCAUUGGAAACUGGAAAACUUGAGUGCAGAAGAGGAAAGUGGAAUUCCAUGUGUAGCGGUGAAAUGCGCAGAGAUAUGGAGGAACACCAGUGGCGAAGGCGACUUUCUGGUCUGUAACUGACGCUGAUGUGCGAAAGCGGGGGGAUCAAACAGG
rnacentral:rRNA from 1 species